AAUGAGGUCUGUGACAAGAUACAUAUAUAUGUAAUUAUCUAAAAGUUACACAAGUCAAAGAGUUGAUUUACAUGUUUAAGGCAACUUAAUGCUUCCGGCAUUACCAUUUAGAAAGACUAACUGGUGACAAGAUUCAGUUUAGUCUACAACACUUGACCUGUAUGAUCAGCUAUUGGUUAAACUCUAACAAAAGAACCAGAGGUCAUGAAUUUUGUAUAGUUACAGAACGCAGCAGGCAAGAUAUACAAAAGUCGUCAUUUACACAGAGUGGUAAACCGCUGGAACAUCCUAUCAACCAAGGUCGUGAAUGGUAAACCGCUGGAACACCCUAACAAACAAGGUCGUGAAUGGUAAACUGCUGGAAUACCCUACCAAACAAGGUCGUGAAUGGUAAACCGCUGGAACACCCUACCAAACAAGGUCGUGAAUGGUAAACUGCUGGAACACCCUAACAAACAAGGUCGUGAAUGGUAAACUGCUGGAAUACCCUAACAAACAAGGUCGUGAAUGCACCAACCCUACAAACAUAGGGAAUAGACUUGAUAGACAUCAGGUAAACAUUAAUUUAUGUGAUAACUACAAGGCUGACAUAAACCAUACCCAGAGAGAUGUCGUAGUCGGUCCUGGACAAGGAUCUUGAUAUCGAGGUCUAACAAUCUGUGUCCUGUACACAUCUGUGUAAGUAAAGCCUUAAAACAAGUCGGACAGUUAAUUCCAUCAGUUAUCCUUCCUUUAUCAUAUAUAUAUAUAUCUAAUAUGCUUUCUCGGUUCCCCUCUACAAACUCUGCCUAAUUACCUUUUUCAUAUAGAAAAAUAAAUAUGCAAAUCAUGAGUUUUUCAGGCUGUUUAAAAAUAUAAUUUAUUUCAAGGUCAAUAGGAAUAUCCUUGUUUUGUAGAUGUUUAUUUGAAUGGAAGCUAUAAGUAUUUGAAUAAACAUCUUAAUGACAUGUUUUGAAAAUCGUCCCUAUGUUGCAUGGCAAAUAAUUAUGUAGUAGUUUUUUUUUUAGAUUUAAAAAAAUGUAUUUGAUACAGUACUAAGGCUGCAGGCAUGCCAAUAAGUAUAGGUAAGUGUAGCAAUCUAUCUCACAGGUCUAACAAACUAUAGAGUAACUUUUAUCUACUGGUAUCAUUGUGCCUAUAAUGUUAGAGACCACCUGUCUGCAAGAAAAAAUACAUUCAUAACAUUGCACAUAUUACAAAAUAAAUACAACAUAAUUUUAUUACAAUCAGCAGAUCUAGAUUUAGCAAUGAGGUGCUCCACAGGGACUUGCUACAUACUCCCAACACAUAAUCUUUAUAUUGUAUCUUAUGAUACAUAUAAUCAUGGGUUGAAAUUUGUGCCAAGUCCCUGUGUUCUCUAUAUCAUUGAUGUAUAAAGACCUACUCACUGAUACACUUUGAUAAUGUUGUGAUUGAAAACAGCCUUUUACUGUAUGACAUAUAAAGAUGUACUGGUGCAUCAGGGCUAUUUGUCUAUUAAAAUUGUUUACUUUUUAUCCCACAGACAAGUUUGAAUGAAACAAGGGUCACUAAGGCAGGUUAAACUGUGUAAGUAGAAUGGAUGUACAUGUACAUGGAAUAAUUACUUGAAUACAAAAGAAGAUACUUCCCUUAGAAAAAUCAUAAGGAUAUUCUUCUUUAAACAUUAACCAAAAUUAACAAUAAUGAGUACAGUAUUAUGUAAAUAGAUUGAAAAGAGGAAAGUUAAAUUUUUUUUUUUAUUUUGUCGAAUUCAUUCUUUGAUUUUCAAUCUGAAUGAUAGCGAGACAUUUAUGAUCAUACACUGUUGUAUGGACAUUUGUUUACCCACUAUGGUAUCAACUUUUAUGCAAUUUGCUGAAAUUUCAUUGAGAAAAUUUAUAUUUAAUUAUUUAAUAAUGUUCCUUGCAAUUCAAACCCAUAACCGAGUAUGACUAUGAUGGAUUGCGAAUAGAUGCAAGUUUUAUAGGGUAUAAUUAUGGAGAUGUAUUUCCUUUUUUCACAGCUAAUGAAUGGUCAUGAUUAAAAAGAUCUUGUUCAAAGGAAAAUCUUAUGGAAGACAGUAACCACAGAAAGGCAUUACGUUGUACUAACAGUGGUAAAAUUAAUGUCUCAGCGUGAUUCUCAGGGUAAAUAUAGAGAUAUCUGUGUGGAUUACAUGAUCUAUUGAAUUACCCACAAACACACACACACCCUCACACAAUAUUUUGAUUAUCUCACUUCAAUAGCACAAACACGUAUAUUAAGUUAAGAUUGAAGCAUUAACAACUGACCAGUCUUCACAAAACAAAGAAAACAAAUCUGUUAUUGCACAAAUUAAACUAAGCACAGUAUGAUCCUCAUUUCUAUAAAGUCACAACAGACAUAUGGGUAUACAAAGCCUUGGUAUACACAUCACCAUUUCAGUCCUACACACAGAGAUAAUUUCACUCGCCCUGACAAUUUAAUUAUCCCUUAAUGUAACAUUAAAGUAGAGAAGUCUUCAGUAUCACUCAAUAUCCUACACUAAAUAUCAUACCAUGUAUAUUUAUAGGACAUCAUAUGGCUGUGCUUUGUCAUCAUUUUUUUUGUUUAUCUGAAUGUAUUUCUUUGCUGAAAAUGGUCUGGUGAAUACUAUACAGGUAUUUUCAUGAAAAUUUGAUUUCAUGAAUUUCUUUGCUGAAAAUGGUCUGGUGAAUACUAUACAGGUAUUUUCAUGAAAAUUUGAUUUCAUGAAUUUGUUUCAAUGAAAUCAAUAAAAAACAAAAUUAACAGAAAAGAAAUUUAGAAAUCACUUGGGACUUCAAUUCACAUCAAUGAAUCGGACAUGUUUUCAUAUCAUAUUGAUAAAUCCAAAAUUAAUUGAAAAUAAAUCUGCUGCAACAAUUUUUCAGAAAGUAAUUUUGUGUUCUAGGAACUUUAUAGUGUGAUGUAUGACUAAUAAGGUAGUGAUCAUGAGAGUGUAAAUUGUAAUGUAUCUAUCAGUAUGAGUAGUAUGGUGGCAUUCAUGAGAGUGUAAAUUGUAAUGUAUCUAUCAGUAUGAGUAGUAUGGUGACAUUCAUGAGAGUGUAAAUUGUAAUGUAUCUAUCAGUAUGAGUAGUAUGGUGGCAUUCAUGAGAGUGUAAACUUUAACAUAUCUAUUGGUGUGAGUGGUAAGGUGGCAUUCAUGGGACUGUAAACUGUAAUGUAUGACUAGUAAUAUAUAAUGUUCAUGGAACUGUAUACUGUAUUGUAUGAUUAGCAAUGUUGGGUUAUUUGGACAGUACAUUUUUUGUUUACGGCAAUGUAUGACUAGAUCUAUGGCAUUCAUUAAACUGUAAUGCAUGAUUGAAAUGAUAUAAA